GGGGAUUUAGCUCAGCGGCAUAAGCGCCUGCCUUGCAAGCAGGCAGUCAUGGGUUCGAUCCCCAGUUGUGUUCA
rfam:Cavia porcellus supercont2_2 genomic scaffold, whole genome shotgun sequence.